UACGUAGGUGGCAAGCGUUAUCCGGAUUUAUUGGGCGUAAAGCGAGCGCAGGCGGUUACUUAAGUCUGAUGUGAAAGCCUUCGGCUUAACCGGAGAAGUGCAUCGGAAACUGGGUAACUUGAGUGCAGAAGAGGACAGUGGAACUCCAUGUGUAGCGGUGAAAUGCGUAGAUAUAUGGAAGAACACCAGUGGCGAAGGCGGCUGUCUGGUCUGUAACUGACGCUGAGGCUCGAAAGCAUGGGUAGCGAAC
rnacentral:rRNA from 1 species